rnacentral:rRNA from 1 species
UGGGGAAUUUUGGACAAUGGGCGAAAGCCUGAUCCAGCCAUGCCGCGUGAGUGAAGAAGGCCUUCGGGUUGUAAAGCUCUUUCAGGUGGAAAGAAAACGCAUAGGUUAAUACCCUGUGCGGAUGACGGUACCAUCAGAAGAAGCACCGGCUAACUACGUGCCAGCAGCCGCGGUAAUACGUAGGGUGCGAGCGUUAAUCGGAAUUACUGGGCGUAAAGCGUGCGCAGGCGGUUAUGUAAGACAGAUGUGAAAUCCCCGGGCUCAACCUGGGAACUGCGUUUGUGACUGCAUAACUAGAGUGCGGUAGAGGGAGGUGAAAUUCCGCGUGUAGCGGUGAAAUGCGUAGAUAUGCGGAGAAACACCAAUGGCGAGGGCGGCCUCCUGGGCCAGUACUGACGCUCAUGCACGAAAGCGUGGGGAGCAAACA